GCACUGUCAUCCUAGAGGAAUGCAAAGUCUGGAGCAAAAAGCCUAGAGCUGGGGCACCCAGGGGGCAGCUGGUACUGCCAAGGCCCCUGUGGCAAAGGCUGGCUUUCUCCUCACUGCCAAGGCCUGCCUGGUCCACGGAUCCUCAUUCUGAGGGUGGAAGAGGUGGACUGAGGGCUUAGAGGUACUUGCUUCAGGGAGGGUGGCUGGCAGUCUCCUACCUGCCAUUCAGUGGCCCAAACUGGAUGAUGUCCCAGAUCCUGAGUCGACACCUGGCCAUCUCCAGAUGAGGUGUCAGGACACCUUGGGCAGGCAGCACGCUUGUUCACCCGGGUCGCAAUCCAUGCUUCUCACUGCACGUGGGUUGUCAGUCACUACAGAGCAGUGAGGGGUCACCGCAGCUCCAGCCUUCCCCACUCUGCCCUUGCCUGAGCACCAAGUUCACAGAGAACUCGGGGGACCUCUCCAGAUUGCUAGCUUUUUUUUUUUUUCUUGUCUUUUUGUCUUUUUAGGGCUGCACCCGGCAUAUGGAGGAUCCCAGGCUAGAGGUCCAAUCGAAGCUGUAGCUGCUGGCCUACACCACAGCCACAGCAAUGCAGGAUCCAGGUCUGCAACCUACACCACAGCUCGUGGCAACGCCGGAUCCUUAAAGUGAGGCGAGGCCAGGAAUUGAACCUGUGUCCUCAUGUAUACUAGUCGGGUUCGUUAACUACUGAGCCACGACGGGAACUCCUAGAUUGCUAGUUUGAGGACCCUUUUAAGAGAGACACCUCAGGAGUUCCCUGGUGGCACAGUGGGUUAAGGACAUGGUAUUGUCACUGCUGUGGCUUGGGUCGCUGCUGUGGUGUAGGUGUGAUCCCUGGCUUGGGAACUUCCAAAUUCCACGGGCAAGGCAGAGAAAAAGAAAAGGAGAGACAUCUCCAGGUGUGGCUGACAUAAGGUUCUAUCCUCAGGCAGGGGUUGGGGGUGUUGGGGGCCCAGGCGGACUGGUAGGGGUGGUUAGGCAGGACACAGCCUCCCAAGGUGGCCUGGAGCUGGCUUGGGAAAUCAGGGACUGUGCUUUGUGGCUCUUUGUUGCACAAGUGCUUCGUGAGCACCUGCUCAGUGAGGCAGACACUAGGCUACCCCCGGCCACAGAGCAGAGGAAAGUUCAUAUGACAUCAGCCUAGACUGCUGAGAAAGCAGAACCACAGAGGGUGCAAUAGGCAGGGAUGGGUUAUGUACAAGACACAGAAAGUGGAGGAGGAGAGAGGUAAAGGAAAGCUUCACUUCGCAGAAAAGGGGAUGCCUUAGCCCGGCAAUGGGGACAGCAGGCCCCAGAGCUCUGAGGCCCCCAGAGGUAGAGGAAGGGAUUUUCCUUGUCUGUGUGUUUGUGAUACUCUCAAGUUCCUGGGCCUUCUCAGGGUGCAGUGGCCUUGACCUCUUUCCACUAAGCACCUCAGAUGAGUCAGAGAGGGGAGAAGAUGCUCCCUUCCUGUUCAUCGGGUUUUCUUUCACCUCCGAGUCCUUGGUACCCAUGGGGACCAUAAUUAUGAAAGGGAGAAGGGCUCUUUGAUCUUGAAGAGCGUGCCCAAGGCCCAAUCCAUCUCUAUUUAGGUCCUCAAGUGACCGUGGAUGGCUCCCUCAGCAUGACUGUCUCCAGCAGCCUCUGUUGGGGCAGGAGGCAGGGCUGGGAGGUGCACUGGGUGGGCCAUUCCAGCCCACUGUCCCUGCUGUCAGACCCAGUCCCUUGAGGUGUCUGGGCCUCUCUGGAACCCUUGGGAACUCCCAGCAUUGCCAAAGCCCCCAUCCUGCCUCUUGCGGGUGGCCCUGCAGUGUGAGAAGUGUUAUCCGGCUCAUGCUGGCUCAUCCUAGUAACUAUUGGUGGUGAACAGGCUUGCUUUCCCUCUAGGACCCAGGCAAAUGUGAUAGGCAAAUGAAUCACCAAAAUCAAACAGCUGCUCUGUGGUCCUUCUAUGAAGGCAAAAGGAAUUAGAGGCCCCAAGACAUUCAGCGGGUACCACCUCCUUUCUGGGUCAAGGUGGGCAAGUGUGACUGAACUAGAGUUAUACUGGGAUGUCACCCUGUCUCCAGCUACAGGUGGGCUGGGAACUCCCAGUGCCCAGCAAGGCUUUGGGAGGAUUUGCAGUGCAGGUGGAGGGUUGGUCCUCCGUGCUAGAGUCCUGGCCAGCCCAGCUCAUUCAUCUCCUUUUCCCCUGAUGGUUGCUCUUCUCACUCAGAUGUCUCCUGGCAGGCCUGACCUUUCUCUCGUCUUUGCCAGCUCCAGCCCCCAGGCCUAGCUCAGGUCACAUCUCUCUGGUUCAGAAACCUCUUGGUAUAAAUUCCUUGGACUGUCAUUCACGGCCUACCCUCUACAGUACUAACUCACCUCUCACUGGUCUUCCAUAAAUUCCUCCUCCAGCUAAGUGUGUGCUCAUCCUUUUUGGCCUCUGCCCAUAAAGCUUUCUCAUCUUGGAGCCCUGAAUUGUGCUUUUACCUGGUCCAAAUGCCUCUUUGCCACUGCUGCCCUCCUGACCAGGCCCAGCUCCAGAGCUGUCUCACCUACCACAUCUUCCUUGUCACCCUCUUCCUUCUGAACCUGUGGCCUAUGGGAUGAAACUUUUUACUAGAUUUGCAUCUUUAAUUAUAGGAAUGAUGCACGCUUGUAAAAACAUUCCCACAUUACAGAAGCAUACCCAGUAAAAUGCGCGUGUGUCAUCCCAACGCUCCUUCCCCUAGAACGCACCCCAGUCAGCAGCCAGGCAUGCACAUGGCUGCCCAUGUUACGCAACAGGAGAGGGGGCCCUUGGGGACCUUCCGUCACCGCUUGACAUGGUGGUGGCAGGUGGGGGUGGGGAGGAGCAGAGUUGGUGGAAGGUUUCAGAGAGGGGUGACCUCUGUUGACUUUGAAAAAAAAUUCUCAAGGUCAGUCUGUGGAACCUCUUGGUUUCUGUCAAAGAACAGAGGCCCAGAGAGGCAUUUCUAGUUUACAGAGGGUAUUCAUUCUGUAUCCCCAAGAGCCAGAAACUCAAGUUCAAAAGGCAGCCAGGCCGCUGGAGAAUCCUCUUGGCCUGGCACCACCCCCACUCCAAGCCCGGACUGAGCCGAGGGGGAAGUCCGGCAGCCUUAAUGGCAUGGUCCCUCAGUCAGAUAGAGAGGCAGAGUUUGAACCCUGCCCUUCCUUUCUCCGCCCUGGACCCUCGUCUGUAUCCUGUAGGCCCUGUGUUCUGGUUAGUCAGCCUGGAACCUUCUACCCCCUGUGUGCCCUGCGAGCAAAGCCUCCCUUCUCCUUAGGGCGUGGCUCAGGAGAAGAAUCCGCCCAAGGUCCUGUUGGCCUCCUUAGAGGAGGAACUGAGGGAAGAAGCAGGGCUGUGCUGGCAUCUCCUUUUCCAGAGACUCCAAGCCAUGUUUCCAGGCAGUUUGAGGAGCCGGGAGUAGAUGUCUUCCCCAAAUAACCCGACGUCCCACGUCUCUCCCACACCCUCCAAUUUAAAUACAUGUUAGGGAGUUCCCAUCGUGGCUCAGUGGUUAACGAAUCUGACUAAGAACCAUGAGGUUGCGGGUUCGAUUCCUGGCCUUGCUCUGUGGGUUGGGAAUCCAGCAUUGCCGUGAGCUGUGGUGUGGGUUGCAGACGCAGCUCGGAUCCUGCGUUGCUGUGGCUCUGGCAUAGGCCGGCGGCUGCAGCUCUGAUUGGACCCCUAGCCUAGGAAUUUCCAUAUGCCACAGGAGCAGCCCUAGAAAAGACAAAUAAAAUAAAAUAAAAUAAAAU
rnacentral:lncRNA from 1 species